rnacentral:rRNA from 1 species
UACGGAGGGUGCAAGCGUUAUCCGGAUUCACUGGGUUUAAAGGGUGCGUAGGCGGGCAGGUAAGUCAGUGGUGAAAUCUUUGGGCUUAACCCGAAAACUGCCAUUGAUACUAUCUGUCUUGAAUAUUGUGGAGGUGAGCGGAAUAUGUCAUCUAGCGGUGAAAUGCUUAGAUAUGACAUAGAACACCCAUUGCGAAGGCAGCUCACUACGCAUAUAUUGACGCUGAUGCACGAAAGCGUGGGGAUCAAACAGG